CAGUUGGUUUGCCAGCCUCUCCCCUCUGCCUUUCAGCUCCGACUGGAGUUUUUAUGACAGCACCGAAACCCGAAAUGGACCAGAACGAGCAGGAUUCUUUCGCUCUCAAGGCCAUGCGCUCGUCUUCUCACAUGAAAAGAAGGAGCAAACUUCGAUACAUUUGAGCAUCUCCACUGAAAUUUGAGCAGAUUUCUCUCGGCUGAUGGGACUCCAGUGGAACCUACGGCUGCUCUGAGCAUCUUCCUUAAUCAGAGCUUUUAACCCGUCAGAUGGUGGUUACAGGUGGCCGCAGGUGCUCCCUUUACCUGGACGAAAUGCAGUGUGUAGAGGGCAGAUGAUUCAUUGUUUUUUGCUCGUGGGUAAGUCAUACUUUUUUUUCCAGAUGUACUGCGCAAACCAUAAUUCAUACCUGAGCAGCUGUUGUUUAUAUUCUUUUGGGUUUUUUAAAUAGGCAUUCUUAUUGUAUUAUUAUUUAUUUUCUAAUGAACAGUUGUAGGACUAAAAAAGUGUAUGGUUAUGUUUACAUGAUGUGUUAAAUAAAGACGUGAAAAUGUAUCACUGUUUAUAUGUUAUUUAAGGAGAAUGUGUUUGUCUGUUGUUGUGAAUUUGUUGAAGAUCACAUCAAAGUUAAUGGCCAGGUAAAAACAGAGGGUGCACAUAUUUUUCCUGCAACUAUAUGUAUUCUUACAUUACAAUAAAUACAUAAUAAACUAGAAAAAAAAUCCUACAGUGCAUGUACUGCAGAAAUAAAGCAUUGUGUUUUUGUAAGUGUACUGUAGCAGUUUCAGCAGGUGAGUUUGCCACACACACACACACACACACACACACACACACACAUCCCGCAUUAAAAUAGGAGGGGAUUUGAGACAGACCCUUUGACUUUCAGCUCUCAGACAUGCACAAAAAUAUACCUUCACUCACAUGUGCUAACGCAAAUGAAUGCAAACACUUUUAAACACUCUCAAACCACAAAUGUCCACUAAAGCCUGUUUAAUCUCUUUUUGUAGAUGUUCAGGACUUCCUUAAAAAUGAUAUUGAUAUUUCUUAUCUCCUUUUUUGUGCAGUGUUUUUUGGGAGUGGCCAGUUAUUAAUUUGGCACUGACUGACUGUAUACAACUUUGUAGAGUUUAGUAUUAAUGGUCAAAGACAUAAAUCAAAAUGGUAAAACAGUUCACCAUUGCAAUUGGUAACAUUGUUAUCUCUUUUUCAAUUAACACAUGAAAUCAUAAAAGUAUAACAACUGCAUGUAUAUAACGUGACAUGUGUACACAAAUGAAGGUGGAAGUGACUGAGUUUGUGUGUGUAAACAUGUAAAAGGUUGUAGCAGCAACAUCACAGCAUUAGUUACGUGUGAGUGUU